GGAUGUGAGGGCGAUCUGGCUGCGACAUCUGUCACCCCAUUGAUCGCCAGGGUUGAUUCGGCUGAUCUGGCUGGCUAGGCGGGUGUCCCCUUCCUCCCUCACCGCUCCAUGUGCGUCCCUCCCGAAGCUGCGUGCUAGGUCGAAGAGGACGACCUUCCCCGAUAAGAGGAGGACCGUUCUUCGGUCAAGGGUAUACGAGUAGCUGUGCUCCCCUGCUAGAACCUCCAAACAAGCUCUCAAGGUCCAAAAAUAAAUAAACGUUGAAAAAAAAUUAAAAAAAAAAGAAAAUAUUUAUUUUGUAUGAAUUUCUUAUUCCAACAUU
rnacentral:snRNA from 1 species